GUGCUCACUUCAGCAGCGCAAGUACUAAAACUGGAACGAUACGGAGAAGAUUAGCAUGGCCCCUGUGCAAGGAUGACACAGAAAUUCAUGAAGUGUUCCAUAUUAUU
ensembl:snRNA U6 U6 spliceosomal RNA